GGAUGUGAGGUCAUCUGUCUGCAAUAGCUGUCACCCCUUGGUUGCCAGGGUUAAUUCUGGCUGGCAGGACAGUGUCCCCUUCCUUUCCUACCACUUUGUUUGUCCUUUCUGAAGCUGUGCUCUCUGUCACAGAAGAUGACCUUCCCUCAUAGAGGACCAUUCUUCCGUCAAGGAUAUGCAAAUAAUGGUGCUCCCUUGAGAUCCUCCAAUCAAGCUCUCAAGAUUUUAUAAGAGAUGGUGUAAGGACAUCAGAAAACCAGACAGUGGGGGACCUGCCACAAUCAUGCAUUU
rnacentral:snRNA from 1 species